GUGAACAUACCUCAUGUUGCCUCGGCAGGUCGCGCCCCCUCGUAGGCCCUACCCUGUAAGGCUUACCCGGAAGGCGCGGGUACUCCUGCCGGCGGCCCACGAAACUCUGUCUCAUCGUUGAAUUCUGAACCUAUAACUAAAUACGUUAAAACUUUCAACAACGGAUCUCUUGGUUCUGGCAUCGAUGAAGAACGCAGCGAAAUGCGAUAAGUAAUGUGAAUUGCAGAAUUCAGUGAAUCAUCGAAUCUUUGAACGCACAUUGCGCCCAUUAGUAUUCUAGUGGGCAUGCCUGUUCGAGCGUCAUUUCAACCCUUAAGCCCUUGUUGCUUAGCGUUAGGAGCCUACGGCACCGUAGCUCCCCAAAGUCAGUGGCAGAGUCGGCUCAUACUCUAGACGUAGUAAUUUCUCACCUCGCCUAUAGUUGGACCGGUCCCUUGCCGUAAAACG
rnacentral:rRNA from 1 species